UGUGGUAUAGAUUAUGGCAUUAACUGUGGAUCUCAAACAUAAAUAUCAAAUUUCAAUGCUUCCCAAACUUACUAAUAUAUCAGUUAUGAUAAAUUACAAACAUGUAUUUGUCAAGAAAAACAUAAAAUACAAUAAAAAUAUUUAAGGUUUGUAAAAGAUAAAACAUAGGGGACUGUAUAAAAAAAUCUUAGUUCAUCCAAACAUUGUUCUACGUAAUCUUUAAAAAGCUGUAAAAACACAAUAUUUUACAGGGAAACUGGAGUAUAUUAAUUUCCUUAUACACUAACUGACCUAUAAAUGUAUUGCAUUGACCAUUCCAGGUGUAAACAUGAAGCAGAAGAAUGGCUGCUUGAGAGUGAGAUAAAAAAUGGCAAAAAGAGUGAGCCUUUGACUGACAAUGGUGGUACUAAGGUGCUCGUGACAUGACAUUAAAAACUAAUAAUUUAUUGGCAUUUGUCGCAAACAAUAUGGACACAUAUCCAGGUGGUGGAAAAGGAGUAUCCACACAAGGUGGAUGAGAUCACAAACUUUUAACUUCUUCCCUCUCAGAUAAGUUGAAGAUAAAAAUGCUCAGCAGUAUUUGCAAAACUCUUCUUUCUAUAGUCUAAAAGGCUAGGUGUCAACCACAGACUGUAUAUGAAAUAUGGAUGUAGUCAGGCACUGGUUUCGAAAGACUCAUUUUGACAGUCAAGUUUUUACCAUCACCAAUAGAAACUGACUAUGCUGCACAUGAAUCUGUUGUUCUUAAGCAACUGGCAUUGUUGUGUACUGGUCACCACACAGAGCAUUGCAGACCAUUGUCUACAUGUUUUAGCUAUUUGCUGUCACCAGAGGGCAGCUUGUGUUGUUGUUGUUGGACCUUCCGCCAACCACAGAGAAGACCAAAGUUACAACAUACAAAGUGUUGAAGUGAAACUGUUACAAAUGUUACAAACAAUAAAAAGUGUCCACUGCAGCCAAUGUUUGAUCUUUAGUGGGGGGGGGGGGGGGGGGGGGGUUGCUAUUCCUACUCUUUCUUCACUCCCUUUCCUUUUUUCAGCCAAUCAGCAUUCUGCUUAUCUGUUACAUGCUGAUGGCUUUUCUCAAGGACUCCAGUCAAGCAUACACAAAAUCCUUCACUCAGUGUAGCAAUAUACCUGCACUACGGAGCCCCCCAGGGGACAUGGGAGAAAAAAAAAUUAGGGAGGAAAAAAAAAAAAUUAGGGAGAAAAAAAAAAUUAAGACGGACUUUUGCGAGAUCUCGCAAAAGUAUUGCGAGAUCUCGCAAUAAGUAUUGCGAGAUCUCGCAAUAAGUAUUGCGAGCGCUCGCAAAACUCCAACAAUGGCGGCAGCUACUUAGUUGUAAUAUUACUCUUUCUGGGUCACAAAAUACACUUUUAAGAUAUUUUGAGGCGUGAAUGCAGUUGUGUAAACGUCAGAUACCUGCUCGGUUUACAAGACAUCACAUAUUUGCAAAAGAGCUCCGACGUUUUUGGAGAUCUGACACCCACUAGCUCGAAGCUAACGGGAGGUCGAGACCUACUACAGCCGGGAGGAACACCGCUUUCCCGGCACAUCGUGCCUCGACCUCCCGGUCGGCUUCGAGCUGGCGGCCUCCGAAGAAUGCGGCUAAAACUUUUGCGAGAUCUCGC
ensembl:lncRNA